rnacentral:rRNA from 1 species
CCUUCGGGUGACGAUAACGGCGUCGAGCGGCGGACGGGUGAGUAAUGCCUGGGAAAUUGCCCUGAUGUGGGGGAUAACCAUUGGAAACGAUGGCUAAUACCGCAUAAUAGCUUCGGCUCAAAGAGGGGGACCUUCGGGCCUCUCGCGUCAGGAUAUGCCCAGGUGGGAUUAGCUAGUUGGUGAGGUAAGGGCUCACCAAGGCGACGAUCCCUAGCUGGUCUGAGAGGAUGAUCAGCCACACUGGAACUGAGACACGGUCCAGACUCCUACGGGAGGCAGCAGUGGGGAAUAUUGCACAAUGGGCGCAAGCCUGAUGCAGCCAUGCCGCGUGUAUGAAGAAGGCCUUCGGGUUGUAAAGUACUUUCAGCAGUGAGGAAGGUAGUAGUGUUAAUAGCACUAUUAUUUGACGUUAGCUGCAGAAGAAGCACCGGCUAACUCCGUGCCAGCAGCCGCGGUAAUACGGAGGGUGCGAGCGUUAAUCGGAAUUACUGGGCGUAAAGCGCAUGCAGGUGGAUGAUUAAGUCAGAUGUGAAAGCCCGGGGCUCAACCUCGGAAUAGCGUUUGAAACUGGUUAUCUAGAGUACUGUAGAGGGGGGUAGAAUUUCAGGUGUAGCGGUGAAAUGCGUAGAGAUCUGAAGGAAUACCGGUGGCGAAGGCGGCCCCCUGGACAGAUACUGACACUCAGAUGCGAAAGCGUGGGGAGCAAACA